rnacentral:rRNA from 1 species
CUGUCUAGCCUGCUUCUGUUCAUUAUGAGCAUCUACGGCCUACCAGAGACGCUUCACCAUGAGAUUGCCAGAGUCCAGGGUCGCUUCUUCUGGGUUGGGGAGGGCGAUAAGCAGAAGUACCACAUGGUAUGCUGGACUGAGGUCUGCAAGCCUUGCGACCAGGGUGGCCUCGGGAUCAUGUCCUCCAAACGCAUGAACAUUACCCUCCUUACUCGGUGGCUAUGGAGGAUUGAUGGGGAGGGUGGUCUUUGGCUACGCAUCAUUCAGCAAAAAUACCUCCUUGGACAGCCGCUCGCCUUCUGUCAGCGCACCGGCAGAUCUCAGUUCUGGCAAUCCAUCAUCCAGUUACUCCCAAUCCUCUGCCUCGAGACCUCGAUUGCGGUUGGCUCUGGCACGUCCACCUUGUUUUGGUUCGAUCGUUGGGCCGGAGACGACCCCUUCGCGGCCCGCUUCCCGGACUUGUUCGCCAUCGCG